rnacentral:tRNA from 1 species
GCCUGAGUGGCUCAGUCGGUUGGGCAUCUGACUUCGGCUCAGGUCAUGGUCUCACAGUUGGUGGGUUCGAGCCCCACGUCGGGCU